rnacentral:misc_RNA from 1 species
AUCUGAUUCCAUCAUUCGUUUUAGCUCAUCAGGUAUUAAGCGAUCCGCCUCUUCAGGGGAAACCUCCUUAGUCAACUGUUCAAGGACAUUUCCCAAAACCUUAAGAGUCGCUAAAACCUUUUUCCUUUGGACAGUCUUACGCUCCAACUCUCCCAGAUUACCACUGAAGACACCAGAUUCCCUCAAUUUCAGUUCCUCCUCUCGUAAUUUAUCCACAUUAUGCCUUUCUCGGUAUUGUUUGUAGAAUUCUUGUAAGAGAGUGAUAUCCUGGCUUCUAUCAAUUGUCCCACCCUCCCGCUUCGCAAGCUUUUG